ACAGGAACCACUGGGGCUUCAAGGCCAUGAAGGAGGACAAGUUGAAGAGGCCACUCUCAGACAUUGAGUCGUGGAAGCUGGCCCGCGAGCGGAGUGAUCGCGAGGAUGGCGAGAGCUAGUACUACGGCAAGACCGACGAGCACCUGGAGUCUUACACUCAGAACUAUCAAAAGUUGCAUCCGGAUGUUCCUGUUCCUGAGGUCGCCCAGUCUCAGAUCAACGACAAGGCGGUGGUGGCCAUCCAGGGGAAGUCACAUGGCCGGUAUCCGUGUUUCGAUGGCCUGAUCACUCCUUCGAUCUCGUACACACGGCUUCGGGCUACCAACCCGAGCCAGUUAGAGAGUACGAUGUUGAUGAUGAUAGCCGUGCAUGUGGCCGUCGUGCCAUACUUUUAUGUUCAUGAAUGUUUCAUGUCUUGCAGUACUUAUAUGUUCAUGAACUUUCGCCGAUGAUGAUCUUUAGAUGAUGAACUUGACUAUGUUUAAAUGAUGAUGAUGAACUUGAGUAUGUUUAGAUGAUGAACUGUCAUAUUUCUGCAUAAUCCCAUAUUAUUCUGCUUUGAAA